rnacentral:snRNA from 1 species
GGAUGUGAGGAUGAUCUGGCUGGGUAGGCAUGUGUCCCCUUUCCUCCCCGACCACUCCAUGUGCAGUCCUUCCGAAGCUGUAACAAAGAGGACAACCUUCCCCAAAUAGAGUAGGCCAGGCUUCUAUCAAGUCUGUAUGAGUGGCGGAGUUUCCCAUCAGAACCUCCAAACAAGCUCUCACAAGCAAUUCCAUUAGCUAGAGAUGGCUCGGGGGUUAAGAGCAAUGCCAUGUGCGU